UCGUCCCCUGUCCUGUUCCCGCCUCUACCCCACAAAACACUCCGGGGGACGUUGGGAUAGUCGGGCGCUCUCAAGCUUAAAUCAUAGGAUGGUUGUGAGGAUAAAAAAGGGGAGAGGGGCAGUUGUGGGUCCAGCCUCCAACUCCUUAUAAAGGGCGACCUUGGCCCAAUCAUGGAGCCAGGAACUGCCCUUCUGCCCUUUCCCCUCUCUUCACAGACAACAGAGGCCAGCAGGCCUAGCAGUUAACAGAACUGGGGCUGGUGGGAGUUGUAGUCCAACAACUUUUGGAGGGUAAAAAGUUAUCCAAAACUUUAUGACUGGAACAUUUUCCUUGGUGCGUAGUGGCUUUGGAGUCAUGGACUGAAAUUUGAGGCAUCCGGGUUCUUUUGCUAGUGCUUAAGAUAGUGCCUUCAAUUUGUCAUUCAGAACUGAGAAAUAGUUGUUUACAACACUCCUGUAAUGUAGACUUCUGGACUUGGAAACUUAGGUUGAACUGUGGAUAUUGUAGUUGGGGGGAGGGUGAAGAAAUUUCAGGGGUCUUAAACGCUGAAAACAGUUCUAGAAUGUGUCCAACAUGUCAUAUAUGGUAAAUAGUAAGUACAGAGAAAAAGAUAAUGAGUUUUUGUUUCUGUUACAGAAAGUGGAGACGCAAGGGGAAUUUGUUAAAGUCAGAAAGAGAGCUUUGGAGAGGCUGACUACUGAAGUGAUGCAGCUACAUGACAUUUUGCCCAAAAUACUGAAUUAUGAUAUCUUGGAGAACUUGCAGAAAUUGGAUGCUGUUGAAACAAUUGUGGAAAGGAAAGAUAUUGAAGUGGAGCAAUUAAGAAUGGAUUGCGAACACUAUAAAGCCCGUUUAGAAGCAGCCCAAGCAGAUUGUAUGAAAGAAAGAAAGGAAAAAUUAACUGUUCGGCAGCAGUUGAAUGAGGCAAAGCAACAAUUAUUGCAGCAAGCUGAAUACUGUACAGAAAUGGGUGCUGCAGUUUGCACGUUGUUGUGGAGUAUCUCUAGCAAUGAAGAAGCAGUUAAAAGUAUUCUAGGAAGUAGUAAAGCUAUAAAGUUUUUUAGCAUUGCUGGACAGACUAUGGAGAGUUUUGUGCGAUCAUUAAGUGAAGAUAUCAAACAGCAAGACAUGGAUUCUGAUGAAAGUCAGUUUGUGUUAGGUUUGGCAGGGAUUGUUACAAAUGUUGCUGCUUUAGCAUGUGGUCGUGAAUUCCUAGUUAAUUCAAAUCAAGUAUUGUUGGACACAAUGAUGCAACUUCUGGGAGACAUGAAGCUUGGAUGCUGCACAAAACUUAAAGUACUGAUGCUGAUGUCCUUAUACAAUGUCAGUAUCAAUGUGAAAGGCUUGAAAUACAUCAGUGAAAGCCCAGGGUUCUUUCCAUUACUCUGGUGGCUCCUGAAUGAGCAUUGUGGAGAGCUGCCUUUGACCAGAUCUGGACAGAUGGGAUCACUGGUUAAAUAUAUUGUUGCUACUAGCCCAAUUAGCAACUGAAAACCUCCUGAAUAUUUGGGGCCCAGAUGGAUUUUGUUCUUCACCUGCUCCCAGGUUUGGUCUCUCUCCCCACCCAGCAGCUUGAAAAAUCUGUAAUCAGUGCAGAUGCCCAGUGCCUCCCCCGUCCAUUCCUGUUGCAAAAGGCUGAAACUGGUGCGGUAAGGGCCAAAGGGCAGUACAUUGUGGUCCAUCAAUUAUCUUUGAGCUCCAAAUUAGCCUCUCUUGAGACAGACAGAUCCUUUGGCUCUCCCAACGAAUGACUCUCCUUUGUGCAUCGCUAUACAUCAGGCUUGAAACUGAUUCAGUAGUUUUAUUUUUAAAAAACAAAUGCUAAACACCACACAGAAAUGGAGUAAGAGUAUGGAAGCAGCCUUGUAAUAAUAAGCCUCAUUGCCGGUAACCACAGAGAGCUGAAUAUUGGCGAAGGUUUUUUCCCUUGCUAUCUCUACCAAGAACUGAUGGUGAACAGAGUGAAAUAAACAAUGAUAUCAGUUACCUCUUCCUGACCUAAAUAAAGAUGUUUAGCUAUUAAAAUCAAAUCACGGUUGUUGUGUUUGGGUUUCUGUAUUGCUGCACAACCAUGCAACACUGUAUGAAAAACUGUGUAGAAAAAAACGGGUCACUUAGGGGUAUGCUUGUUGUGCUGGCGAAAUGUUUAGUGCCAACAGAACUAAUAUUUGCAUGAGAAAAUGCUUAAGUAGGUUGCUGGUAACUUUGUUGCACAAACUAUUGUGUAAUGAGUUUUUGCUAACACGGCUGUUGCCCUCGAUUUCACUGUUGCAGAAUAUUGAAACUCACUGGUCUGCUAACGCAAGAACCCUUGUGCUAGCAGAGGACAUUAGAUACAGCCUAAUAUAUAUUGUAUUUUGUAUUUGGCAGUGAAUGCUCUGAUAGUAAGUGGGGAAGCUGGUGCAGAGGCUCAGAAAGUUCCAUUGCUCAGAAAAUAAAGCAGUUUGUGGCCGAACCUCUGUGAAGGGAGGGGAAAUUGUUCAUUUUGGUCGGGAAAAGAUUAGUGGUGCGCUGAAUUUUGGCUGCCUUUUCGUUUUCAACACUGAAGUUUCCAUUUCAUAAGCAGGUGAAGCCCAGAUUGAAGAAGAAACCACCUCCAGUGAACUAUCACUUUUCAUUAGCAUCAUUAUAAAGCAUCUAGAGUUUGGUAGGUGCUGUAUAUACUAUU